rnacentral:rRNA from 1 species
GAUGAACGCUGGCGGCGUGCCUAAUACAUGCAAGUCGAGCGAAUGGAUUAAGAGCUUGCUCUUAUGAAGUUAGCGGCGGACGGGUGAGUAACACGUGGGUAACCUGCCCAUAAGACUGGGGUAACUCCGGGAAACCGGGGCUAAUACCGGAUAACAUUUUGAACCGCAUGGUUCGAAAUUGAAAGGCGGCUUCGGCUGUCACUUAUGGAUGGACCCGCGUCGCAUUAGCUAGUCGGUGAGGUAACGGCUCACCAAGGCAACGAUGCGUAGCCGACCUGAGAGGGUGAUCGGCCACACUGGGACUGAGACACGGCCCAGACUCCUACGGGAGGCAGCAGUAGGGAAUCUUCCGCAAUGGACGAAAGUCUGACGGAGCAACGCCGCGUGAGUGAUGAAGGCUUUCGGGCCGUAAAACUCUGUUGUUAGGGAAGAACAAGUGCUAGUUGAAUAAGCUGGCACCUUGACGGUACCUAACCAGAAAGCCACGGCUAACUACGUGCCAGCCGCCGCGGUAA